GCGCUCGUAGCUCAGCUGGAUAGAGCAACGGCCUUCUAAGCCGUAGGUCAUAGGUUCGAGUCCUAUCGGGCGCA
rnacentral:tRNA from 1 species